GGAAACAAGGGCGUAUGGUGGAUGCCUUGGCUUAAGAAGGCGAUGAAGGACGUAGCGUGGCGGCGAUACGCUUCGGGGAGGUGCCGAGCAACCUUUGAUCCGAAGAUUUCCGAAUGGGGAAACCCCUUCGCGUAAAACGCGAAGACGCGCAUAGCACGGAAAUCCUAAACGCUAAACUCUAAACUCUAAACAAAUUCAAAAUUCCAAAUUCAAAAUUUCGAACAUCUCAGUUUGGACUUUGAGUUUUGUGGUUUGGCUUUUGCUUAGGAUUUAGGAUUUAGAAUUUAGAGUUUCCGCGCUGUGCGCGGGCAUACCCUGGGAAGUAAAACAUUUCANNAUUCCAAAUCACAAUUUCCAAAUCACAAACAAAUCACAAAUUCAAAACUCAAAAUCACAAACGGGGACGCUUCGUUUGAGUAUUUCGGGCUUUGGAUAUUGGGUAUUGUUUGUAAUUUGGUGCUUGGGUAUUGGAGAUUCCGCUGCUGCGCAGCGGUGUUGUAAGGCAGUGACGUCGUAUUUAUACGAGGAAAGUUACAAAAUUGUUUGUUAGUGGAAGUUGCUGGAAAGCGACACCCCAGAGGGUGAUAGUCCCGUACACGAAAACAAACAAUCUUUCUUGUUACUGUUCUUGAGUACCUCAAGACACGAAUAGCUUGAGGGAAUCCGCCGGAACUAACCGGCAAGGCUAAAUACUUCUUAAGACCGAUAGUGAACUAGUACCGUGAGGGAANNAGGGCGGUGAAAUAGACCUGAAACCAUAUGCUUACAAGGAGUCAGAGCCGUGCUUCGCACGGAAAUCCUAAACUCUAAACUCUAAACUCUAAACAAAUUCAAAACUCAAGAUUCAAAGUUCUAAACGGGGCGAUCUCGUUUGAGCUUUUGGUUUUGAUAUUUGGUGCUUGUUUAGGAUUUAGGAUUUAGGAUUUAGAGUUUCCGCGCGGAGCGCGGUCAGUAGUAUUCAUCAGACCCGAAGCCAGAUGAGCUUACCAUGAGCAGGAUGAACCAAAGAGAAAUCUUUGGGGAGGUCCGAACGCUAGAGCUGUGCAAUACUCUGCGAUGACUUGUGGUAAGGAGUGAUAAGCUAAUCGAAUCUGGUAAUAGCUGGUUCUCUCCGAAAUAGCUUUAGGGCUAGCGUCGUGCGUUCCUUUUGGGGGUAGAGCUCUGGAUGGUCUAAAUAGGUCGAAAGACCGUUAGACCAAUCAAACUUCGAAUACCAAAAGCGCCCGCAUCACGGGGAAUGUGAUGGGGAAACAAAAACAAAACACAGACACACACAAAAACCCAAACCCCGAAUAGCAGAGCAAAGCUCGCUAUGGGGCAGACAAAACACAAAACAGUCCAGACAUCACAAACACUUCUUCGUUUGUGUUUUGAGGAACUGUGCUUUGUUUGGACUUUGUGUACUGUGUUUUGUGAAGUUUCCUUUAUCGCGUUUCGCGCGAUGCGGGUAUAGCGCGGCAGUUAGACCGUGGGGGCUAAGCUCCAAAGGUCAAAAAGGGAAGAGCCUUUGAUCUCCAGUUAAGGUCCCAAAAUCUGCGCUCAGUACAUCACAAGGAAGUGGAAUCUCUUAGACAAUGAGGAUGUAGGCUUAGAAGCAGCCAUCAUUGAAAGAAAGCGUAACAGCUCACUCAUCGAGAGAUUCUGCACCGAAGAUGAUCGGGGUUAAGCGCAGUACCGAAACUGAGGGUGCCUUGUGUAGAACACAAGGAAAUUCCAAAUUACAAUUUCCAAAUCACAAACAAAUCACAAAUUCCAAAUUCAUAAUUACAAACGGAGACUCUUCGUUUGAGUAUUUCGGGCUUUGGAUAUUGGGUAUUGUUUGGAAUUUGGUGCUUGGGUAUUGGGAUUUUCUCGCGUUCUACGCGAGGCGCGGUAGGAGAGUAUUCGCAUCUGCAGUGAAGCCAAAGGGGUGACCCAUGGUGGAGCGUUGCGAAGUAAGAAUGUUGGCACAAGUAACCACAAUGCGGGUGAGAAACCCGCACGCCGAAAGACUAAGGUUUCCUCCUCGAUGAUUGUCAGAGGAGGGUUAGUCGGGCCUAAGGGGAUGGCGAAAGCCGAACCUGAUGGACACAUGGUUAAUAUUCCAUGACCAAGGCGCGUUUCGAUGGAGUGACGAAGUCUAGUAUGUUUUGCGCAUUAUUGGAUUUGACGUUCGGGCUUCGAAGAUUAUCCUUAGGUAAAUCCGAGGGUAUGCCUUUAAUGGCGAAUCGAAGGAAGAGCGAAAAUGUUCGCCGCAAGGCGGAUAAAUGAAACAAAACAGACUUCCAAGAAAAACUUCUAAGAUUAAACGCGACUUGACCGUACCGUAAACCGACACAGGUAGUCAGCUCGAGUAGAGCAAGGCGAACGAAUGAGAGGUCUCCAAGGAACUCGGCAAAAAAGCGGCCGUAACUUCGGAAUAAGGCCNNNNNNNNNNNNNNNNNNNNNNNNNNNNNNNNNNNNNNNNNNNNNNNNNNNNNNNNNNNNNNNNNAAGAGGAUGUAUAGGGGGUGACACUUGACCAAUGCCAGAAGGUCAAAUAACGGCGGUGCUAUGGUCGCAAGAUUGUAGUGCUGACUGUUAUAAGCCCUGGUGAAUGUCGGCGAUAACUAUAGUUGACGAUUGUAGUUAUCUGAAUAAAUCUUGCUAUAUGCUGGAAACUCCGAGUAUCCAACAGUACCGAAAGGUGAAAAUCUGUUGGUGCGGCUGCCGUCGCUAAAGCUAUGGCGGCCAACGGACAAUCAGCAGGAAAGACUUGUGAACUUCAUGAAGGGAUUAGUAUGAAAAAAGAUAAAAAUAGUAAGCUUGUUCCAAUUCAGGUUCAUAUCGAGGACACCAGCUCAGUUCCCGGAAUGCGAAUUCCAAUGGUGGGUUGCGUGUUGUUGAGUGGACGUAUUCCUUUUGCCCAAUUAAGGCAAAUCGCAUUGGCCUCAAGGUUGAGGCCACCACUGAAGCAAUGAUCUUGCUUCAGUGCAACAAGGGCGAAAUCAACUUCGCCCCCUUCAUGAAGUUCGCAAGAAUCCUCAGAGACUAAUACGCAAGACGACUUCAAAUCAAUGCUGGAAUGAAGCCGACGAUUUGAAGGCGAUGAUAGAGUCCGAUCUUCAUGGCGACAUGAAGGACCUCCGCACCUGACAAAGUGUGAGAGUGAUAACGUAAUAAAUCGUCCUAAGGUUCUCCGUCUGUCGAAAGACGGACGGAGAAGGACUAGGACGAUUUACGUCAAAAAUAACAAACGCUACCUAGCUGUGCGGUAACGCAAAGCAUCACACGCGGCUCCAAGAGACUAUACGCCGUGCUCCCCCACUUUUGAUUUUUGAAGAAAUCAAAAGUGGGGGAUGAAGACAUAGUCCUUCGUAAGGAAUAGAAGAGCGCAAUUCCUUAAAGAUAGGGACCAUCCGCCGUUGCGGAUGGAAAACUUGGCUAUAUGCUGGAACAUCCGGUGUAUCCAACAGUACCGAAAGGUAACAAUCUGUUGGUGCGGCCGCCGCCGCUAAAGCUAUGGCGGCCAACGGACAAUCAGCAGGAAAGAUCCGCCUUUGGCGGAAAUCCUCAGAGACUAUACGCCAGAAUUCCUAAUAGGAAUAAGAUAUAGUCCGACCUGUUAAGCGAUUAACAGAGAUGUACAGAAACGUACAUCCGCCAUUUAUUAUGGUUAGUACUUGACUUUAAAGUUAAGGAAAGUGACAAACGUGAGCGAAAUACCUUGUCGUUUAAUUGACGACUCGCAUGAAGGCGCAACGAGACUCCUACUGUCCCUAGUUAAAAGCCCCUGAACUCACUAUACUGGUGCAAAGGCCAGUGACUUCCAGUGGGAAGCGAAGACCCCGUAGAACUUUACUAUAACCUAUAAUUGUGAGAUAAAUUUUAUUGCUCAGUAUAGGUGGAAGCCGUUAAAGCUUAGCCUUCGGGUUAAGUGUAGGCAAAAUUGAGAUACCACCCAACAAGAUUUAUCCCACUAACUGGAGAUCCAGGACAUUUAUAGGCGGGUAGUUUGGCUGGGGCGGUCCCUGCUGAAAAAGUAUCAGUAGGGCCCUAAGGUCGACUCAACAGGUUUAGAACUCCUGUGGAGAGUGCAAGAGCAAAAGUCGGCCUGACUGAAUUUUGAAAAACAAAAAAUUCAGAGACGAAAGUCAGGUCUAGCGAACCUCUAAACCUCCUUGAUGGGGGUUAGAGAUGACAGAAAAGCUAUCUCGGGGAUAACAGAGUCGUCGCGCCUAAGAGCUCAAAUCGA
rnacentral:rRNA from 1 species